rnacentral:rRNA from 1 species
GUGGGGAAUAUUGGGCAAUGGGGGAAACCCUGACCCAGCAACGCCGCGUGAGUGAAGAAGGCCUUCGGGUUGUAAAGCUCUGUCAUUAGGGAAGAAGAAGUGACGGUACCUAAUGAGGAAGCCCCGGCUAACUACGUGCCAGCAGCCGCGGUAAUACGUAGGGGGCGAGCGUUGUCCGGAAUUACUGGGCGUAAAGGGUGCGUAGGCGGCGUGUUAAGUUGGAUGUGAAAUACCCGGGCUUAACCUGGGGGGUGCAUUCGAUACUGGCAGGCUAGAGUGCAGGAGAGGGAAGCGGAAUUCCUAGUGUAGCGGUGAAAUGCGUAGAUAUUAGGAGGAACACCAGUGGCGAAGGCGGCUUUCUGGACUGUAACUGACGCUGAUGCACGAAAGCGUGGGGAGCAAACAGGAUUAGAAACCCUUGUAGUCC